UACGAAGGGGGCGAGCGUUGUUCGGAAUUACUGGGCGUAAAGGGCGCGUAGGCGCCCAAUCAGUCGGGCGUGAAAGCUCUGGGCUUAACCCAGAAAUGUCGUUCGAUACUGUUGGGCUAGAGUGUGGAAGAGGCUACUGGAAUUCCGUGUGUAGCGGUGAAAUGCGCAGAUAUCGGGGAGGAACACCGGUGGCGAAGGCGGUUCUCUGGGCCUUACCUGACGCUGAGGAGCGAAAGCGUGGGGAGCGAACAGG
rnacentral:rRNA from 1 species